AUACGUAGGGAGCGAGCGUUGUCCGGAAUUACUGGGUGUAAAGGGAGCGUAGGCGGGAGUGCAAGUCAGAUGUGAAAUACAUGGGCUCAACCCAUGGGCUGCAUUUGAAACUGCAUUUCUUGAGUGAAGUAGAGGUAAGCGGAAUUCCUGGGGUCGCGGUGAAAUGCGUAGAUAUCAGGAGGAACACCGGUGGCGAAGGCGGCUUACUGGGCUUUUACUGACGCUGAGGCUCGAAAGCGUGGGGAGCAAACAGGAUUAGAUACCCUGGUAGUCCACGCUGUAAACGAUGAUUACUAGGUGUGGGGGGACUGACCCCUUCCGUGCCGCAGUUAACACAAUAAGUAAUCCACCUGGGGAGUACGGCCGCAAGGUUGAAACUCAAAUGAAUUGACGGGG
rnacentral:rRNA from 1 species